AUUGAACGCUGGCGGCAGGCUUAACACAUGCAAGUCGAGCGAGCGGCGGACGGGUGAGUAAUGUCUGGGGAACAGCAUGAUGGAGGGGGAUCACUAAUGGAAACGGUAGCUAAUACGGCAUACCCUCCGAUGUGCCCAGAUGGGAUUAGCCAGUAGGUGGGGUAAUGGCUCACCUAGGCGACGAUCCCUAGCUGGUCUGAGAGGAUGACCAGCCAGACUGGAAGUGGGACACGGGCCAGACGCCUACGGGAGGCAGCAGUGGUGAAUAUUGCAGAAGGGGCGCAAGCCUGAUGCAGCCAUGCCGAGGGUGUGAAGAAGGCCUUCGGGUUGUAAAGCACUUUUAGCGAGGAGGCGUUACUCGCAGAAGAAGCACCGGCUAACUCCGUGCCAGCAGCCGCGGUAAUAC
rnacentral:rRNA from 1 species